AGGGUAAGCCAGGAUUAGUACUGCUGAAGAGAAGUGAAAUGUAACUGAUGCGAAGUUAAAGGCACAAACUGAUGAUGACAAGGCCCUUCCAGCCCUGGUGCCAUUAGACAGGGGACUGUGAAGCCUCCCUUCCCCUGCCUGGCUCAUGAGCAGGUGAAGAAGGCUGGAGGGGGCGGAUCUCAGCCAUGGCAGCUGAGCAGACAGAUGUCAGCAUGCUCAGACAGGGAGGAAAAUUGUCUGGUUUUGGGUGGGCUGUUGAAGAAGGACUGGUUUUGCUUCUGUAGUUCUUCUACGUCCUAAAAAAUAUUUGAUUUUUCUAAAAGGACAUUUUCUGUCACAAAGUACCUCCCUGUGGAAAACUUGCAGUCAGUGGUCAUGAAUGAGACAGGGGAUUCCAGGAAAAAGAAAGAAAAUCUGAUGGAGAAGUCUUUCUCUGAAGGACUGGGGUCUGUCCCUGUUUCUGCCGCAAAGCACUGAUGGUUUUGGUUAAGUCAUUUCAAUUAAAAUUUUCAGUCACCAAAUCUCCCUCUUUUUCCAGACACCUGACCUGAGGCCAUUUGCAAAGGCAAUAUAUGUUUACAGCUGUAGAAAAAGCCACCAAGAAUACCUGAAAUGGAUAACAUUCAGUGUAAAAUAUGCUAGAAGUUUGGAUGACAAGUUUUUCAAAUUGGGUUUCCACAAUUACAGACCCUUUUGUAAACUGAGAUUAUCAUCACUUAAUCAUGUCAAAGUUGUUGUGGAAAUAAAUUAAUUCAUAAAUAUGCAAAACCACUUGAUAUUUUAACAAUGACUAUCACAGAAAAAGUUAUAAUGAAAUUACAAGUUGAUCUCCAAGAGCAGUCUGAGAAAGAUGUGUCGGGACUGAUGAGAAAACAGCAUAGCUGCUUAUUAAUUUAAACCAAUCCUAUGGGUAGGUGGUGGGGGGGAGAGGGAAUAGUAUUUGAAUAUGUAAAUACAUCUAUUUUGUGCAGAAAGGGAAUGCAUAGAUAACCUUUUGAUUGUUAACUUUUUAGGGCCUUGCAACUUUAGUAAUGCUUUUUAAUGUAGGAUACAGAGAAACUGAAGGUUGUAACUAGAGUUCCCUAUACCUUCAAAAUACAAUGAAAGAAAGUCUAGUGUUCAUUAUACUGCUCACAGUUUUGAAAGACUUGAAGGCUGUGUAGGAACCAUUGAACUGCUUGUAUUAAAACAGGCUUAUUGUGCUGAUCCCAUAGUGAGCUAGACAGAUAGCUGAAGAAUGUCAAUAAAUAUCUGUUUACAGUUUGA